CCCAGCACGAUGCCGCUUACCCCGCGUGCUGUCACACGGCUCCUACACGAGGCACUGCUGUGGUGCAGGCGCUUCUCAUCCUGCAGAGAAGGAAGCCAAGGCGCUCCCAGGGAGCAGGAGCGAGGGAUGCUGAUAAUCUCAGCGGCUCCGUUCUGACCGGUAAUGGAUCUGUUAACGUCUUCCCUGCAACGAGGAGAGACAGGUUUAUUUCUGUGCCUCUCAGGAGACAGGCUGGAGCUAUUAUAAGAGUUAUUAAGCUAUUAUACACAGGUAUUAAGGCUGAAAGAAGUCAGGUGUUAUGAGGGCGUAUGAAAGAGAAACCUCAGAGGUGCACAGGAGAUAGGCAGAAGAGGGGAAAUGGUGGUGAGACAUCCACGUGUGUGACCAGCCAACGCUACAGAAGAAAGCAGCACCUUUCAGAGCCGAAUUCAGAAGCAGUAGGCCAGCUCGGCAGCAAGUGUGAAAGGUGCAAGUCAAACACGGGGCCGCAGCCAUUCAUUCUUUUUUCUGACAUCUGUUGAGGGAAUGGGAGGAAGGGAAUUCAGCUGUACUCUAGCAGAAAAGAGAGGCUUUUUUUUGUUCUUUUGGUCCUGUGGAGCUGCACUCCCACCAGAUGCUGGUGAUCCUAAUGCCAGCUGCACAGAGCACAGCAUCUCUGAUUCCCCGGUGCUGGGCCCUUCAUAAGCCCCAGAGCGAGCCAAAUUCGCUGUACCUGUAAGAAAACCGAGGGCACGACAGGCUUGUUGCUGUUCUGUGGCUUGGCAGCGUGCUGGAUAGCGACAUCCCUGGCAGGGCCCGGCGUCGUGCUGCUGCAGUGCCGCUGAAGUGAAGGUGGUUGCUGCCCAUCUGGCCGGCGCUACGGCCCCAAUGUAGAUGACACAGCCUGUGCUUGGCUUUAUACUCUCCAGUUUUUCUUCUUUCUCAGGUGGGAAGACCCAGCGUUUCAGUGUGAGGGCACGCAGGUAGAUGAUAGGUUUCCUACAGAUGCUACUCGGGAAUAAAUAAGGCUUGUACAGACUUCCUAACUGCAGGGGAAGAUGCCUCCUGCACAAAGACUCCUUUUUGGCAAAACUUUGCAAUGCCUAAGGACUUAGAGGAAUUUUGUGUGGGCCGUGCAAAACUGCUCCUGCCUCCCAAAAGUGUCUCGUCUGUGCUGUGGAGGUCAUUCGGGUGCCUGCGCUACAGAAGCUGUGAGUGCUGCAGAGCCAGGAGCUCCCAAACCCUGCAGGAGGUAGCAAAGGGCUGCGGGGGGCUGGCGGUGCCUGUGUCUGCAGAGGGAUGCGCCUCCACAUCCCGAGCGUGUUUGUGCUGGGGUGCUCAGCCUGCAGGCAGUGAAAAUGGCUGAGGACGGGGAUGGACGGAGCAGACAGCCAGGCGGUGCACCUGCAGGGGUGGUCUAAACGGCCUGAUGUCCCCGUACGGAGGUGGGCAAACAUCUCCGGGGGGAGCCAGGACCUCCCUGCUGCCUGAGACAAUUUCUGACUCUGGAACCAAAUGGGAGAAAUUUCUUCUGAGAUUCUGAAAUAUUGUAGAGAGGGCUCGCUUUUCUUUUCCUUUACUUUUUUUCCUCCUGCCACUUCCACUUUCUAGCAGCAGCCACAACUGGAAGUACCAAAAAUCUGCAGCGAGCCUGCUUUCUCAGGCUCUGUCUUGAAAACCCAGGAAGUUUGAAGAGGCCUGAUAAUCACCCCUGGUUCCUUAUCAGCUUUCCCCCACCCAGGGGUCUCCCAGCACCCAGCGGAGGUGGCUGUGUGGCUCUGCCGACAUCACGGUGCCAGCUGGCUGCCGCAGCAGCGCUCACUGCAAUGGGAAAAAACAGCCUUCGUACUUUUGGUCCAGCCUUUGUGCUGGUUUUUCUAUUUUUGCUCUCCCAUUGAGUUUCCACAACAGAACUGUGCCCGUGCUGUGAAGACACCAAACUAUUCUCAUGAUUUUGUAUCAGAGAUAUGACAAUGUCACGGCAAUACUUAAGAUACCUUGCUGGUAUACCUGAAGUUGGACAAGGAAAAAUUGGGCUCUGUUUGUAGUGUGUUCCAUACUUUAUUUAGGUGGCUGAAUACCAAGGGUGACUUGUUAUUUUUCCCUCCUCUUUCUCCCCUCAUGUUAACCUGUUCUAUUUUUUUUGUUUGGUUGGUUUGUUUGUUUUGUGUUUUACUAGAUAUUACUUUUUGACACAGCGCUCCCAUUGCUAUGCAGAUGCUGCACAGGUCUAUUUAUCAUUUCCCACUCGCCGUGUUUCAGAAGUCUGUUCAGCAGCGCCGUGUCUUUCCUUGUUGCAAGCUUCAGUGCUCCACAAACUGCGGGGAGCGAGGAUAUCAAGUUGGGAGAGCUCUGAAGCAGGCGGUUGAACACGGUACUGCUGAGAAAGUGGCAUCUUCUGCAUCCAUGGGCAGGAAUUUCUUCAGCUAGACUCACCACCAACACGGAGUCCAAAAUAUUUGGCUGGAAUGAGUUCAGUUUUACAACUGGUGCCAUGGAUUUAUGUGUGAGCUUAGAAAUUUACUGCAUUCACUUUUCAAAUCAAGAGUGUUGGAGUUAAUGAGAAGAAGUGCUAAAUGACUUGCCCAAGGCUGCCUUGCGAGCCUGUGAGAGCCUGAACCCCAUUAAAAAUCGCCAGAUGCUCAGCAGGGUACGCUGCCCACGUCAUCGCGGCGACUUCUGAGGCAGGCAGGAUAAUCCACGGUGCGAGCAAUGUGGUGUGAAAUAAACACCCUACCAGCACAGCUACAAUUUAGUUUGCUUUAAUUUCCGCAAAUGGCUCUUCUCUUGGUGUCUGGAGGGGUUAAGAGGGAAGCGCUUCCCAUGGGAUGCAGCAGCUCUGGAGCUUCAGCUGGACCCGUCUGCAGUCACAGUGCUGCUCCAGGAACCAUCCCAGCUUUGCCAUCCAGCCUGUGAAGGUAGAGAGACCUAAUUGCUACUUGAGGAGUGUUUAAUAAACCGGGAAUGAUUACCUCCUGUUGGAUGUACGUGAUUAAGUGAAGUCACACUGUCCAGAGGUUGCCAAGCUUUUACCAUGUGACUUUGAAAACUUACUUGCUGAGGAAGGAAGGUUUCCAGGGGAAUUGAUAAUAAAGGAUGUAGUAGGUUUUUGGAAAGAAAACAACUUUUGCUGUGAAUACAGCAACCCUGAAACUUUUUGAGGAGAUAAACUGCUUUCUAAAAAUGUCCUGUAGCUCCCUUGCGUUUCCACAAUAACUUGCUCUGUGCUUGCCAUGGCCAUUGCUCUGUUUAACGCGGUAAUGGAGAGCUCAGGUGAAUAGCUGCAGCCUCUUCUUGCUGUAGCAGAAAAUGGGAGUCAGGCAGUGCUCAGACCUGCUUCUGAGUUGAAGUUUCAGGACUUUCUGUCUUUGUGUGCUUCUUCUCAGGUUCUCCGCUGAUGUUGUCCCCAAACACAUUAUUGUUGUGCCCGUAAACAUCACUGCAGUGAAGUUCUGGUAGCAAUUGCACAACGGGACUUUGUGCUCAGCAUACCCCUGUGAAUGCUGCUGAGUGACUGUUCCCACACAGAUUCCUGAAGCAAACAUUGCUGCUACAAUCUAAAAGAGCAAAAAUGUUUGGAAAACAGCAGAUGCAAUGGGAAAAUGACACUUCCUACAUGUGAUAACUACACAACCUUAACUCUGCCCUUGGAGUAUGUCUGCUUCUCGCCAUAUUGUUUGGAAACUUGCACAGAGUACGAAAAAGUCAUUUGAAGUCUUUGUCUGCACAAGCCAUGGUUCAAGAAGUGAGUGGAGGUGCCAGCAAGGGUUAAGGUACCUGCGUGUGGAUGUGGGGAACUGGGCACGGUGAGAGGAUUACAUGCAGCCCUUAAAUAUGGAGAGGUGACAGUCAGCACCACGUGGCUGCUCAGUGGGCACUGCUGGAGGGGGAUAAAACCUCUGCCUGUGAUCUCCAGAACACCUGUGAACUCCAGAUCGCUAACGCUUUAAAGCACAGGACAUGGUUAUGCUUUUGUCCUGUCAUGGUAAGAGCAUAUCCUGUCUUAAGUCCCUUACAUUGGUUUGCUUUUUAAGUAGCAUUUUGUUUUUUCAUUUUUUCCUUGUACUCUGCCAGGGGUUAAUUUUGUUCAGACUGUCUCCAUCCACUCCCUGCAGCCCCGCUCCUGCUCUCAUCCUCCUUUCGCAGGCUGCAGGCUCCUUCCUGACUGUGCUGUAUUUCUUGUCUGGGGUGAAGUCUGCUCCUCGCUGGCAGGAGCUAUCUGGGCUUUGUUGCCACUGAAAAAGUGGGAAAAUACAGUGGAAAAAAAAAUGCCUGUCCUCUGUGGCUUGCACGUGUGCAGCUACAAAGAGUUAAACCAACUUUUGUCUUUAUUCUUUGCUCUUUGUAAGUUGAGGGAAGGGGCAAAAAACAUGCUCUGUGCCAUGUCUGCUCUUGCUUGGAUUGUAACAACGUGAAUAUUUGGAACUUCCACAAACCAGGAGCCGCCCCAGUCCUUCUCCAGCCGUUCACUCAUGGCCCUUCAGCCCCACCUCCUCUCACACAGCUGCUGCAGGGGACACUGAGGGGUUGUGCAGCGAGGGUGACAAGGGCUCAUCCUCAACCUGCCACCCCCAGCCACCCCAGGAGCGUUUCUCCAGGCCCACGGGGCAGGCGUAGCGCAGGCCUGGGGCCGAGCUUCUGGGGAAGAGCCACUCUUUGCCGCCUCAGGAGUUUCGCAGACCUGCGGCUUGUGCUUUCUGGUGAAGCGUGCUUAUGGAUCUGCAAUGGAUCGAUAAGGAUGU